UCUUGGUCAUUUAGAGGAAGUAAAAGUCGUAACACGGUUUCAGUAGGUGAACCUGCGGAGGAUCAUUA
rnacentral:rRNA from 1 species